rnacentral:lncRNA from 1 species
AUCGCUAGAUGUACUUACUUGGCUUCCAGCGUUGUCGUCUGCCACUAAACAGAUGUUUGCCUCUUCAUCAGAUUCGCUCGAAUCAGAAAUUGUUUCGUUGUCAUCGUCCCAUGCGAUGUAGGCCUUCUUUUUCUUGAAGGAUUUCCUUUCCUUUAUUUCUUCAUUCUUCUUUUGAUUUGGGCAGUCCGCUUUUAAGUGCCCCCUUUCUCCGCAACCAUAACAUCUAUAUUUUGAGGAGGAUUCUUUAUUUUCUUUCUUUUCG